rnacentral:ncRNA from 2 species
CCAAUAGCGUAUAUUAAAGUUGUUGCAGUUAAAAAGCUCGUAGUUGAAUUUCGGGAUCAAUUUAUUGGUCGUGCUAUUGUACGUACUGGUAUUAUUGAUUCCUACCUUCUGACGAACCAUGAUGUCAUUAAUUUGGUGUCUUGGGGAAUCAGGACUGUUACUUUGAAAAAAUUAGAGUGUUUAAAGCAGGCUCACGCUUGAAUACAUUAGCAUGGAAUAACGAAAUAGGACGUUUGAUUCUAUUUUGUUGGUUUCUAGGAUCGACGUAAUGAUUAAUAGGGAUAGUUGGGGGCAUUAGUAUUCAAUUGUCAGAGGUGAAAUUCUUGGAUUUAUUGAAGACUAACUACUGCGAAAGCAUUUGCCAAGGAUGUUUUCAUUAAUCAAGAACGAAAGUUAGGGGAUCGAAGACGAUCAGAUACCGUCGUAGUCUUAACCAUAAACUAUGCCGACUAGGGAUCGGAUGAUGUUAAUUUUUUAAUGACUCAUUCGGCGCCUUACG